CCUACGGGUGGCUGCAGUGAGGAAUAUUGGUCAAUGGGCGCGAGCCUGAACCAGCCCAGUCGCGUGAGGGAUGAAGGUUCUAUGGAUCGUAAACCUCUUUUAUAAGGGAAUAAAGUGUGGGACGUGUCCUAUUUUGUAUGUCCCUUAUAAAUAAGGAUAGGCUAACUCCGUGCCAGCAGCCGCGGUAAUACGGUGUAUCCGAGCGUUAUCCGGAUUUAUUGGGUUUAAAGGGGGCGUAGGCGGCCUUUUAAGUCAGCGGUGAAAGUCUGUGGAUCAACCAUAGCAUUGCCGUUGAAACUGGGGGGCUUGAGUAUGUUUGAGGCAGACGGAAUGCGUGGUGUAGCGGUGAAAGGCUUAGAUAUCACGCAGAACCCCGAUUGCGAAGGCAGCCUGCCAAGCCAUGACUGACGCUGAUGCACGAAAGCGUGGGGAUCAAACAGGAUUAGAUACCCCUGUAGUC
rnacentral:rRNA from 1 species